UCUCUCUUUUCCGCACGCCUCACCUCGCGACCUUGCAGGAAUCUGCGGGCCCUGGAGCGGCCUGGCUGACCCACCUGCCCAGGGCCGAUAUGCCGAGAAAGGCUUCAUGGAGGGAACCAUCCCGUCCCUGUCUUUAAAAUGAGCGCAAUAAAAGGGGGCAAAUCCUCAAACGCGAACCUGAUCACUUGUCACAGAAGCAACUUGCCAUGAAAUCCGCUAAUGCGCCGCGACUCGCCCACCGGGUUCCGGAGGUGCUGGAAGCUGUCCGACCAAGAGCUUUUUCGUUACUCCUGUUUCAUGCAGAGCACUCGG